AAAGUGACGUUUACCAGAUAGAAUGCUGAUUUUUUUAAUAUAUUUACAACAGUAUUUGUGUAAAAAAAAAAUACAAAAAAAGUGAGAUUGUUAAAAGUAAUUUCUUUUUUUCAUUUCGGUUUUGCAUACACUGCCACCAAUCCCUUCUCUUUUAUUUUAUUUCACACACAUAUAUAUAUUUUUUGGUAAGUCAAGACUGUUAAGGUUAGCGAUACUGCUUCCAGAUAGAAAGAAUAAAAGGCAAUUAAAGUUAUAUUUGAAAGAGAGGAAGGAUAUUUUCUUCAUAUUUUUUUAAAUUUUUCUUAAUUUUUAUUAUUUUAAGUGUUGCCUGGGUUGAGGGCCUCUGGCCAGCCCAUCCCUGCUGUAAUUUGAACUGCUGCUUUGUAUUUUGAUAUGUAGUUUUUCAACUUUUAGCAAGCUUAUGUUGCUCCACUGAAUAUUUUUUUCACCAAUUCAUCUAGAAUUCUGUUCUUUUUCACGGGAGGGACUUUAUCGUUCAGAAACAGAUGUCUUGCUUCUCUGAAAGUUUCAUUGAGAUCUUGUGAUUCUAGAAUUUCUAUUGACUUUACCUUUUUUCUUUGAUGAAACACUAGUACUCUAGAAGUCUUGACAAAUGGGUCCUUUCCUUUUGUGGUCAGCCGGGAGGAGGAGUUCACGAAACUCUGCUGUCCCUCCUCACCCUUCACAACUGCAGAGAACGGCAUUAUCAGAAGCCUGUUGCAGAUCAGUAUGCCUCAAUGCCACAAUCACUUUCUUCCUUUCAAAGAUCAGUUUCUGUUCCGACCCUGAUUGAGAGGGCUAACUAAGAUGAUUAUUCUUUAGAUGCCUUGUCAAUCCUUGCUUGUUGGUAAGGUUUUAAAGAAACUAACAAAAAUCUCCCAGAUGCCCAACGUCCAUCGUCCGGAAGACCACCAGUUCAUUGCAUCAUCUUAGAUGCCACUCUCUCUUCCUAGUUGAGAUUUCUCUCCUCGGUCCUGAUUAAGGUAUCAGAAUAGAGAUUUUUCCAUUAUAGACAGUGUCCUAAAGGGAUUCCAACUCAAACAUAGGAAUUCUUAAACCUUAUAAAAACUCCAAAGGUGAUUUCACUGCUGGGCAUAUUUUAAUACCUGUAAGGGGGAAAGUAAAUCUUUAAACAAAGCAGAAACACUAAACUACAGUUAAAAAAAAAAAAGAAGGAAAGAUGUAUCUCAGUUUCAAAAUUACUUUGCAUUUGCAUUUAAUUUUCCUAUCAGCAACUUAUUUAUAAAAAAAAAAAAAACAACUGUGCAACAAAUGGGGAGAAAUCUUCCAAGGGAAGCAACUGUGUAAUAACUAAAUUGGUUUUACUCAUUAUUUUAGUAUUGGUUCACUUGUAUCUUUUCCAUAAGUUUUUGCUGAUAAAUAAUAAGGUUAGUACAGCUGGCGUAUAUGUGAGUUUGAUUUGGUCCUUGGUCCUUAAUUCAGUAAAUAUUUUGCUAGAAAUUUUAAUGUAGCCAUGGAUGAUUAACUGACCUUCAAGUAUUGCCCAUCAUGAUUUCUAAGAGGAGUCCUACCACAAACUAUGUAUCCAAAAUUGACCUGUUUUAAAAGCUGGUGGGAAACAGCUUCAGAAAUAAGAAAAAGUCCAUUUUCUUUUGCUAAUUGUGCUUUUUGAAGUAGCUAUCUUAGACUCCAGUAUUUCCACCUGCUACCAACAGAGGGAGCAUUAGUUAAUUAACCGUGUCAUAGAAUUUUGAUAUUUUGAAAAACAAGUCAUUCAACCCAUGAUGUAACACAGAAAAAAAAUUGACAUUAAAAAAGAUCUUUUUAAUCUAAAGGAAAAUGACAUGAAAUCACUCAGCAUAUGUUACAAAUGGAAGAAGGUCAAGAGCCACUUUAAAAUAUUUUGAAUUAUUUGACAGUAGCUGGUUUAAAAUGGUGUCCAUACUCAAAUCUUAGCAAAGUAGACAACAUUAUAGGAUCCCCAGAAACUUGAUCCUGGGUGCCAGUAUGGACCACGUUCAGCUAUUUGCUUCUCAAAUCUGAGGGAGACCCAUUUGCCUAAAUGC
ensembl:lncRNA